GCGACAAAAUAAUAAUACUCCAAUAAAAAGAAUAUAAUAUUUUAAAUUAUUAUUACUUUGAAAAAAAAUAAUAAUAAGAAUAAUUCAAUAUAUUAAAUAGGUAAGGUUCUGGGUUAUACAGGGGGUCCCACAAUGAUCUGCUAAUUGAAAUAACUUUUGUUCUAUUCAAUAUGUUGAAUAUAUUUUUUUUUUUAAACAAUGAAUAUGCCUCUGCGUUACAGUUUAUGUAUGGAUAUUUUUUUUUUUUUUUAGGCGGAGGGGGAUUUAAAAUAAAACAUUUUAAAUUUUACUAUAAUCUUUUCAAAUAAAUUUAAAAUAGCCAGUUUGUAAAAUAGAUUUUUAGACAAUUUUUGGUGUUUAAAACUUUUGUUAAAGUAUGGUCUUUAAUUUUUUACGGUUUUUUGAAGUUUUUGCAAAUAUGGAUAUAACCUGUUGUGAUUACUCCAUUACAAUAUUUAAUAAGUUAUUAAUCAGGGCACAUGACAAGAAUUUUCUGUUCCAUGAGUUAAUAUCAUGCAAUAAUACUAUCAUAUUAUGGGUAUUAGGUAAUAAGUAAAUGGUCAUUCAUCUUGAUAAACAACAUUGUUAUGAC